rnacentral:rRNA from 1 species
UACAGAGGGGGCAAGCGUUGCUCGGAAUUACUGGGCGUAAAGCGCACGUAGGCGGCUUCUUAAGUCGGUGGUGAAAUCCUGGAGCUCAACUCCAGAACUGCCUUCGAUACUGGGAAGCUCGAGUCCGGGAGAGGUGAGUGGAACUGCGAGUGUAGAGGUGAAAUUCGUAGAUAUUCGCAAGAACACCAGUGGCGAAGGCGGCUCACUGGCCCGGUACUGACGCUGAGGUGCGAAAGCGUGGGGAGCAAACAGG